rnacentral:rRNA from 1 species
UACGUAGGGGGCAAGCGUUGUCCGGAAUUAUCGGGCGUAAAGAGCGCGUAGGCGGUCCGAUAAGUCGGCUGUGAAAGUCAAGGGCUCAACCCUUGAAAGCCGGCCGAUACUGUCGGACUAGAGUCCGGAAGAGGCGAGUGGAAUUCCCGGUGUAGCGGUGAAAUUCGUAGAUAUUGGGAAGAACACCGGUGGCGAAGGCGGCGCUCUGGACCGAGACUGACGCUGAGGCGCGAAAGCGUGGGGAGCAAACAGG